rnacentral:misc_RNA from 1 species
UUUCCGUAGGUGAACCUGCGGAAGGAUCAUUAAAUAAAUAAGAAGUAAUUAGGCUCGUCCUAUUACUAACUAUUUUACUGUGAACUGUUUUAUUUUGCAGCGUUUGAGGAAUGUUCUUAUGCUAUAUGGGUAGGUAUAAGAAAUGUUAACCGAGCUGUAAUCAGGCUUAGGCUUGGUACCCUGUUUAUAUACUUUCAAUUGAUCAGAUUUUAAAAUGUAACAUAGAUUAAAAUCUAUAAAACAACUUUUAACAACGGAUCUCUUGGCUUUUGCAUCGAUGAAGAACGCAGC